rnacentral:rRNA from 1 species
AAGCCUGAUGCAGCAACGCCGCGUGCGCGAUGAAGGCCUUCGGCUCGUAAAGCGCUUUUCGAGAGGGACGAGAAGGACGGUACCUCUUGAAUAAGUCUCGGCUAACUACGUGCCAGCAGCCGCGGUAAUA